rnacentral:rRNA from 1 species
AGCUCCAAUAGCGUAUAUUAAAGUUGUUGCAGUUAGAACGCUCGUAGUCGGAUUUCGGGGUGGGCCGACCGGUCUGCCGAUGGGUACGCACUGGUCGGCGCAUCCUUCCUUCCGGAGACCGUGCCUACUCUUAACUGAGCGGGGGCGGGAGACGGAAUGUUUACUUUGAAAAAUCAGAGUGUUUCAAGCAGGCAUCUCGCUUUUGCAUGGAUUAGCAUGGGAUAA